UACGUAGGUGGCAAGCGUUGUUCGGAAUUACUGGGCGUAAAGCGCGUGUAGGCGGCUCUUCAAGUCAGACGUGAAAGCCCCGGGCUUAACUCGGGAACUGCGUUUGAUACUGUCGAGCUAGAGUGUGGAAGGGGCGAUUGGAAUUCCGUGUGUAGCGGUGAAAUGCGUAGAUAUCCGGAGGAACACCAGGGGCGAAGGCGGAUCGCUGGGCCAACACUGACGCUGAGGCGCGAAAGCGUGGGGAGCAAACAGG
rnacentral:rRNA from 1 species